GUCUACGUCCACGGGCUACCCUGAAUAAGCCCGAUCCCAUCUGAUCUCGGAAGCUAAGCAGGGUCGGGCCUGGUUAGCACUUGGAUGGGAGACCACCUAAGAAGACCAGGUGCUGUAGGCA
rnacentral:rRNA from 1 species